UACAGAGACCUCAAGCGUUAUCCGGAUUUACUGGGCGUAAAGCGUUAAAAGGUGGUUUUUUAAGUCGGGCGAAAAAUAUCAGAGCUCAACUCUGAAACUUUGCUCGAAACUAAGAGACUAGAGGUCGGGAGAGGCAAGCGGAAUUGUCGGUGUAGUAGUAAAAUGCGUUAAUAUCGACAAGAACACCAAUGGCGAAGGCAGCUUGCUGGAACGAUUCUGACACUAAAUAACGAAAGCGUGGGGAGCGAUACGG
rnacentral:rRNA from 1 species